UACAGAGGUCCCAAGCGUUGUUCGGAUUCACUGGGCGUAAAGGGUGCGUAGGUGGUGAGGUAAGUCGGAUGUGAAAGCUCGGAGCUCAACUCCGAAAUGGCAUUGGAAACUACCUUGCUCGAGGGUUGGAGGGGGGACUGGAAUGCUUGGUGUAGCAGUGAAAUGCGUAGAUAUCAAGCGGAACACCAGUGGCGAAGGCGGCUUCCUGGCCUGUUCUUGACGCUGAGGCGCGAAAGCUAGGGUAGCAAACGGG
rnacentral:rRNA from 1 species